GAUGAAGAACGUAGCGAAACGCGAUAAGUAAUGUGAAUUGCAGAAUCCAGUGAAUCAUCGAAUCUUUGAACGCACAUUGCGCCCGCCAGCAUUCUGGCGGGCAUGCCUGUUCGAGCGUCAUUUCAACCCUCGACCUCCCCUUGGGGAGGUCGGCGUAGGGGACCGGCAGCACACCGCCGGCCCUGAAAUGGAGUGGCGGCCCGUCCGCGGCGACCUCUGCGCAGUAAUACAGCUCGCACCGGGACCCCGACGCGGCCACGCCGUAAAACACCCAACUUCUGAACGUUGACCUCGAAUCAGGUAGGACUACCCGCUGAACUUAAGCAUAUCAAUAAGCGGAGGA
rnacentral:misc_RNA from 1 species